rnacentral:lncRNA from 1 species
CAUAGAGUAUAUCAUCGACACCAAUAGUGGUAUACGGUCUCCCUCGAGUGAAAGAAGUUGACACCAAUAACCCCAUUUUUGAUACUAUGACUUGCAGUCCACAAAUAUGGCAUGUUGUUCAUGGUUCUAGGGAUAGGUAUUUUGAAAGAGUAUAGAGAUUAGAUUGCAACCAUUCUAGGUAGUAGAUCUAGUGAUUUUUCAUUCAG